UAAGCAUAUAAGUAAGUGGUGGAAAUUAAACCAAAUGGGAUUUCUUUAGUAAUUGCGAAUGAACAAGGAUAUGCUUAGCUUGACAAAUGGAGCUUUUGGCUUUGAGUUGUAUUGUGGAAAUGUACCACCAACAGAGGUGCAAGUGUCAGCCAUUUGAAAGAAAGCGUCAAUGAGGGUGAGAAUCCUGUUUGUCAUGUGCAGCCCUCUGUGCACGGUGUAUAUUUGCUGAGUCACACUCCUUGGCAUUGGAAUGCAAAGUGGGUGGUAAGUUUCAUACAAAGGUAAAUAUGCAAUUGAGACUGAUAGCACACAAGUACCAUGAGGGAAAUAUGAAAAGGACUUUGAAAAGAGAAUUAAAUGAGUUUGUAUUUGCUGAACACAAAGCAAACAGACUUGAUUUGCUUGGUGAGAUUGUAGUGCUUGCUUGACAAUAGGUUUUGGCUGUGGGUGAAAUGAUUCUUUCUUUGCAUGCCAGGUUCUAUGUGUACAUUUGAUUACCUUUGCACAUGAAUGGUAAUUUUCCUGCGGGGGGUGGAUUGCAUGUGCAUGUAAUGAUUUGUGUUUUGAUGAAUGUGUCUGGUGUAUCUGUUUUUGUUCCAUGUGUUUGAGGUUGCUUCCUUCCUUGGGCUUACAAGCCCUGACACACACAAUCUGGCAAAA
rnacentral:rRNA from 1 species